CCCCUGAAUUUUCCUAGACCUACCCUAUAAGCAUUUAAUCAAAAAAAUCAUCAUUCUUCAUCAAUAAUCAAUAAUUUCAUGGUUAUGUUACAUGUUACAUGAUGCAAGUUUCCAACAAUUUUUCCUUCCAUGAAGCUUCUUUCCCAUGGUUUUAUCUUCACUUUCCGAUGCCUCCUUGAGUCCAUUCUUCCACCCCAAUUCUCACUUUGUUGCAAAGAAGAAGAUACACCAAAUUGAUCAUCAAUAUCAUGGAUUGAAAUCAUCCAAAAUUCAUCAAAAAGUCAUGAGGAAUCGGAUCCCUAAAUUCAAAGGGAGACGCCUCCAAAUCCAACUGCAUAUGGGUUUCAUAAGCGCUUCUGCAAACGGGAUUAUGCACUCUCUAAAGAAUUCCAUGAUCAAUCCCCAACAAAAAUCUGUUUGCACCGCGUCUUGGUUCGUCACAACUCAGAAUUCGAUAUGGAUUGCUUAAGAUGCAAAGAGCUUACUUAGAAAAAGCGAAUAAAAUGAUGAAGCAUAGAAAUGCGAUCGCACGUACCUGUAAGGUGUGGUGUGGUUGUUCUUUGAAGCCGGCAUCGACGGAAAGUAAUCCCAGCUUCUCCUUUGUCAGGCGCCGUAAAUCGGAAAGCUAAUGAUGUCAAGCUCAGCGAGUCAAAGUCUCAAGGAGAGAGCUUCAAUGGUUAUCAAAAUUGAGCUCUAAGUGAGAGUUUAGAGGGAAAGAACGAGGGAGAAGAAGAUCUUUCAAAAUGCUUGGUGAAUGAAACUUUAGCCUCUACCACAAUGCAGGGUACCCUCCUUUUAUAGCUUUUUUACUUCAUGCUUCUAAUACUCUUCUCUCUCCAUUAUGUUUCUAUUUGUUAUCAUUUGUUAUCAUUUGUUAGUUACAAAACAGUUAGGCAGUUAGAAAGUUAGGUUUUUGAUAUUGAGAUUCUGCUAGUUGUUAGAUAGUUAUUUCUGUUAGAAAAAUGGUCAGAAAAUCGGUUACGGUUGAAUCCAAACUAAAAUGUAAAAUUGAUGAAAUGCCCUCUAUUAGUUACAAAUUCUAAUCUUGGUUAGAGUUGAAAAUGCAAAUGUAAAUUCUGUUAGGGGUCAGUUAUUAUUGUAAAUUGGAAAUUGUGGAGCUAACUGUUAGGAAAAUUACAACUGAAUUCUAUUACCUUUGUUUUGAGCAGUGGUUAAGUAUAUGCAUUGCUAGUCAGAAUUUGUUAGAAAAGCAUGAUCUCCGAAAGAACUAAUAGUCGUUAUUAAAUUAUUUUUGAACUGUGGUUGAAGAGUCUUGUUUUGCUAACUCCUUAAGAAUGACGACCAAUCAAUUUUGAAAGGGUGAGAGGUGGCACCUUCCUCCUUUCAUCAAUUGCAUCACCUCUAUUAUAUCCUCCUUUAUUUGUUCCUUCGAUAUUUGCUAAUGAGGUUGAUGUUAAUUGAAUAGUGAAGUUAGAAAAAUAUUGGGAUAGUUAGUGAACUGUUAUGGUGUGAUUUUCAUUCUGUUAGAAUCAAAAAUUGCAAUGUUACUUGCUAUACUGCUAAUGACUUUUUUUUAUGAAUUCAUAUUGGCUAGAUUUGAAAAUUGGUUGGUAGGUUAAACUGUCUCAAAUGGAUGCUGCAGGUUUCAAAUGGCAGUCUCUCUGUCGCGAAACCGGAACAGAAGGGUUAGCUGAAGGGUUUUGAAAUUAGGAGGUUGAUUUGUUUGUUAAAAGAAAGAGGCUAUAUAGUUGAAUUGUAUGAAUCUUUUUCCAAUUCUGAUAUGGUUUAUGAUCCAUCCCCCCAUUAUGGGUAAAAUGUUCCCAUCUCCCAUGAACAUUUAAUAAUGAAGGAUUUACUUGUCUUUA